AUGGAAGGUACCCGUUCAGCGCUGGAGACCUCGCCGGCUGCAUCCCUGUCCUCUGCUGCUGCUGGAGAGAGCCCUACAGAGGUUCCACGGGAAGACCUGUGUUACCUCUUUGGUGAGACCAUGUACGGUGGCCACAUCACCGGUGCCUGGGACCACAAGCUCUGCUGUAUAUUUCUGCAAGAAUUCAUCAGCCCGCCUGUGGAGAGGGAUCAGGCCAGUCUACAAAGGAAAAGUUCGUCAUCUGGUGUAUUGUUGGUGCUGUUAAUGACAUGUGGAGCACACAUCUUACUAUGUUAUUUCGACUUGAAAGUAGAAGAGUCAGACAAAGUUGAUUGCAGUGAUUUCUAAUGGCUCUGUUUGUGUUGCCCGGAAAGGAGAAGAAUGUCCUGGAUAAUAUUCUGGACAUGCUUCCCAAGGAGUUUAACGUGGCAGACAUCACACAGACAGCUACUGCCUGGAGCCCCUGUGCCCUUGUGUGCCUUCAAGAGUGUGGGAGGAUGAACCUCCUCCUGUCGGGGAUCCAUAGGUCUCUUAAAUAGCUGGACCUAAGUCUGCAGGCAAGUGACUAUUUUAUUAACAGUAUUGUUACUCUUCUAUGCAAUUUGGGGCUUCUUCUUGCUUUUUUUGGAAGUGAAAAGAAUAGCUAUUCUUUAUGAUGCCAGUAUGGUUUUUAUUGUUCUCCAAAGGGGGGUUGUGGGGUGUGUGGUGUGAUGUUUUCUCCUCACAUGAAGUACUGCAAUCUGCACUCUUCUAGGAUGCUGUGCCAGACACGUGGACUAAACUGGCCACGUCCAUCCACGUACAGCCUUGCCCACUAAGUACACUUCAGUAACAGGGCUUAGCUGCUACGCACAGAGCUAGUCCACUGACCCAACCCCAGUUUUAGUUUUUUGUCCAAAAUUUGUCUUAAUGCAAGUCAGUUUUACUUUGAAGUGAG
rnacentral:lncRNA from 1 species